GACACAGAGCCCAUGCAGCCUAGUCCAGCCCACAUUCCUCAGCUGGCCUUGAUGGAGUGAGCAUGCUCAAGGCUCAACCGGAAGCUAAGUCCUGCACCAAGGAGCCUUAGCUGCCAUCUGUGCCUGCAGACUCUGGCUUGUGUCUCAGAUGCAAAAAAAGUCUUUCAACGAGGCCACAGCACUGGAAGCAAAUUCCCUCUGCAAGCCCUUCAAAGAACCGGAAUAACCAUUGGUGGCUAGCUCUGCUUUCCUAAGGAGAGUCCUGCCUUGGGAAGUGGUACUCUACAGCCAGCUAAGCCCUGACAUGCAUAUGUCUUUUUGUGAAAUACGACCAUUUGUAGAAUGGACCACUGCACUGCACCUGGCUUUUGUAACUUGCAGACUUCUGGAGACUGAUACAGCAGUUUGGAGGGUCUCCCUCACACUGGAUACAGGCUGUCCAAUAAAGCCUCUAAUGGCUGUAUCAUAAUUUAUUUAAC